rnacentral:rRNA from 1 species
GAUGAACGCUGGCGGCGUGCUUAAUACAUGCAAGUCGAACGGAGACAUUGUAGCAAUACGAUGUUCUUAGUGGCGAACGGGUGAGUAACGCGUUGGUGACCUGCCCCAAAGAGGGGGAUAACAGUCCGAAAGGAUUGCUAAUACCGCAUGUGGUCGUUGGAUUUAGAAACCGAUGACUAAAGCAGUAAUGCGCUUUGGGAGGGACCUGCGUCCCAUCAGCUAGUUGGUGAGGUAACGGCCCACCAAGGCUACGACGGGUAGGGGGCCUGAGAGGGUGGCCCCCCACAAUGGAACUGAAACACGGUCCAUACACCUACGGGUGGCAG